GCUCCUCCUUUUCGCUCGCAGCCCUGGCGUCGCCGUGUCUCCCGCAUCCCGGCCCCCUCCCGCCGAGAGGCACCGUCCCGGGGGAUGCCGCCCGCACCGCCGGCCCCAGAGGCAACUACCACCAUAGGUGCAUUGCCCAUAUUGAUCUGAUCUCUUCCUUGAGAAUGAAGAAUUCAUCCAUACUGGAUACGGUCUCACCUGGAAGGACUGUAUGGGAUUAAACUCGGGAUCCUUAUAUGGAUUCAGAAUAACCCAGAUGAAACAUUAGAACAUGGCAAAAAACAGAUGGGAAUUCCAGAGUUAAUGUCACCUCAUUCUUAAAGAAUAUUGCAUAGAACAUGCCAGCAGCAAAGGCUUGGAUUCAAUCUAGAUUUUGAAGCUCACUCUACUAAGACAAUAAACUAUUGAUAGUUCAAAGGAGGGCAGUGAUCUCAAUAGCAGAACAUGAAGACACAAGGAAAGCAGAGCCUGGCUGGUGGAGUCCUGGACCUGAGAGGGACUUAAGGCCAAGCAGGUAAGAAGGAUCACCUGUGGCUAAGCCAGUUCUGGAAGAUGUUUGUCUGAUCUGCUGCUGGUUCUUGAAUACUGAACAAACACAUGGAAAGAGGCUGUGAGCUUCAGGAAGUUGUUUGUAUAAUUUGCUGCUUGUAUGGCAGUGCUGGGAAAUGUGGCAGAGUGCAUGUAGACAAAGAUAACCACUCGCAGCCUGUUACAGCGCUGCUGACUGAGUACUGUUCAGUGAUGGCAGAACGUGUCCUUGGAAAAGGUAUGAGGAGGAUCUGAUGCAAUACCUGGCAGCUACAAGGAGUCCCAGGAGGAGCACUCCCAAUUAGUGGCUUUCCUCAUGGGCAGUUUGAAGCAUUCCCUGUGGGCCUGCUGUAUGAGUGCUUACACUGCAGCUGGCAACACACCGUACUACUGCAAACCCUGUGCUGCUGCAGCUUGGCUGCUCCCAUUUGCCUGAAGUACGUCAAAUUAUUUCUAAUGACUGCCAUCAUGCAUUUACAGACCUUCUGUGCUGACCAGGCUGCUGAUUUGAAAUGGGCUGGCUGCUUCUUUCUUCUGAAAGGGAUGUCCUAUGUUUGACAGCUAUGGAGUGCUCCUACCAGUGGAUUACAUCCAGCAAGAGUUCACCUCCUUCUGCAGAAAGGAAGAUGUGGAACAUAUUGCUUUAGCAAAAUAAGCUUUACCCAUGGCACUAAUGCAUGUGCAUAUACUAAGGCUGCGUGUGUAUGUAUGCAUCUACUACAAGAAUCUGGCAGAUAGCCAACUUACAAACUGAUUGACUGUUAUCUGCAAGAGUGUGCUGGUACCUGGAAGACCUCUCCAAACAUGAGGGAACUGGAAAAAAUGUUUUUUUUAUGUUCUUUAGGUAGGGAAAUACCUAUUUAAGCAGUUAGGGCAGUCGAACAGAUCUAUGAAAUGGAUGGAUCUAUGAAAACCUUAAAAAUUAUCGGGGAAAAUGGAGGCUAGUUAGCUCUUUCUCUACUGAUAGGUCUUUCAAAUGAAAUCAUAUUUAACCCACUCCUCUCAGCUAUGAUCUCACAACUAUUAUUUAAGCACAGUCAUAUAAAAAUACCAUCUCUUUUUCCAGCAAGAAACAAAAGGUUUGUCUGUAGCUUCUCCCCUGAGUCUUGGUGACCCCCUGGGCUAGUGUGGUCAAGACUCCCUUAUGUGCUGUUGGCUAACGCAACAGGCACGACAUAGCAGCCUCCAAUUCCUAACCUCUGAAUCCCUAUCCCGAAGAGGUAGAUAACUUAUGGUUCAGUUGGCAGGGUGCAGUCUUCAGCAGUGCUUGAACACUACUUUAAUUCAUGCCCCAUGAGCUAUAACAGACGUGCCACUGCAUCCCUAAGAAACAUACACGGAUCAUAAAUAAGGUUGGAUGCUAUUUUAAGUAAUAAACAUUGAGAUACAG
ensembl:lncRNA